rnacentral:misc_RNA from 1 species
CCGACGAUACGGCCCGCUCCGUGGCUCCUUGGCCACGUAACUCGAUCGGAAAGACGCUAAAUUAAAAACAAGAAAAGAAAACGAGAGAAAAAAGCAUUCGAAAUCGAAAUAAUUCAGGUCGACGAAACAAAAUAUUCUCCAACACGGAACUGUCCGAAAUGAGAGGCUGAGAUACCGAAAUCUAUGAGGCAAGAGGAUGUUCCAUGGUAUCGACGAAAGUAAUAAAAGUUUGAUCUACGUAAGGGAUGUUACAAUUCCAGAUAAUUGAGCCCGGUGGCUCGAGUCACCGAGAUUCGCGAAUUCGUCGAAUCGCCGAAGCGAUGUGAGCGGGUGGAAGGAGCAAAAUUGCAAGAAAAAAAGAGACGUUCGAACUCCCACAAUUGACUACAGAACGAAAGAAACAAAUAAAAACUGGCAAGAGAGCUUGGCGAGAAUCGCCAAAAAGCUCAGCAUUUAUGCGACUCGUAAGGGCCGGUGGACACAAGGACGAGAGGAGAGCGUCUCGUCGGUGUCUUCGUGCACGAUUCAAAGCUGCACAAUAAACAAGAGAAAAGAGGAAAAAUUAACAGCCCAAUUCCGUUAGGUUCUCUUUCUUUUUCUCUUUUACGAAGAAAAAACAAGAAAGGGGCGAGGGUGACGAACAGAAAGUAAAACAGUACAUCAAGGACGACGACAAAGAUUGAAAAAAAAAGUAGUAAAAAGAAAAAGCGUCAGUUUGUAACAGUAAAAAUCAAAAAGAAACAACGUUUAAGGGCCGAGGGAGAGAAAAAUAUAAUAAAAGAAAAAAGAACGAACGAAACGGCAAAGGUUACGAUAAAAACGUAUCAACGAAGUCACGUGUGUGCGAGAGUGUGCUAAACAAAGAGACGCAGGAAGGAAAAAAAUGUUGCCGACCAACAUGAUGUCCUUCAUGAAAAAGAUGGUGACCCAAACAGAACAGUCGAGCAACGCCGGGUCCGUCACGCCCGACGAUGGAGGUACGACCUUCAGCAAGUUACGACAGUUGGGCAGCGGCUUGAUGAAUGCUACCGGAAAUGUCACUAAAUUGUCACCAGCCAAAAUUACUCCGGUCGAGGAUAUUCAACCAAAGGAAGAAAUACUCGUCAUCGAACCACCCAAACCGAAACCGGAACCUGGGAAACCAGCGAGUCGUGAGGGCGCCUGUAGGAUAUGCCUCAAGUCCUUUAAACCGGAGGAUUUCUCGAGGACGUGCAACGAGUGCCAUUACAAGGUUUGCGAGGAUUGUGGUUACUCGACGAAACCUGAUUCCGAUGACCCGUCGACCUGGUGCUGCAGUGUUUGCAAGAGAAAAAUGUCAAAGGGUCAACCCCUGUUGAACGACGAUUCGACGGAGUCUCACCUCGAUAUACCGAGUCAACCGAUGAGAAGACGGCACAGUGACGUUAAAUUGGACUCGCAGAAUGACGUUCAAAUGUGUGGUCUCGGGCGUGGCCUCGCACCACCCAAGAAUUCGGAUGCUGGUAGACGACACUCCGACGUCUCACCAGCAACGCUCAAAGAACUUGAGAAGUUUCGAAAGGUUGCAGGAGAGCGUCGAGGUACCGAGGAACUCGGUUGGGAAUGGCGGAGCAAAUCACGAGGCGGUUCACCCGAUCGUCAUCAGUCGGACAGGACAGAGAGGAGCGAUAGAAACGAGAGAGGCGAGAGAAAAGAGAGAGGACGAACAUCGAGUCCUCAGAGAAAGAAUUCAGCGGUUCCAGUAGACCCAGACGUCCAACUCGACCUCGACGAUGAGGAAGAGCGUCGCAGACGUGCGCGUCGGGGCGGUGGAACGGUGCGUCGAAAAUCCAGGGUGACGAGGCAACAUUCGUACGACGAUGAGAUCAAAAGUUCUGGAUCCAUGGGCAGCGCCGGCGGCGGGGGUGGAGGCUCCUCGCACGGGGGAGAAACCGGCCUCGGUGUUACGUAUCAGAUAACUCGAAGAUCAUCGGCUUACGACGUUUACUCGGCGACCGGAAGCGGCGGUGGUGGCCUCAACGCGAUGGCGAUAGCGGCGGCUCAACAGCAAAUGCAAUGCAGCCGGGAUGCGGACUCCAUGUACACCAAAAGAUCCUCCAUUUCUGCUCAGGGAGCUCGGGAACCGGAAGAGGUUAGACCUUCCGGUAGAAGACCAUCGUUCCGAGCCGUUAUACCAGUCAUGCCAUACGAAAUGCCUGGAGACGAGGAAAAAAUGAUUAAUCUCGAUGCUAAUUCCUCACCGGAUGUUAUACCACCGACUCAACCCCAAAGACGAAGAGGAUCACAAUUACCAGAUAUCAGCGCCCUGAGGGGAUUGACAUCGUCCCCAGGAUCAGUGAAGGCCACCCCGCCAGCCGUGACACGUGUAGCCGUACAGGACGACCGAGAACUGCCCCGACAAGGCAGUCUCGUCGAUGGCGAAGGAAUUAAAAUCGUCAUUCACGACGUCGACAGUGAAAUGACAUCGAGGGUGAAUCCAAAGCGAAGGGUCGUUCUUCGGAGGGAUCCUCAGCUUCUUGAUAAAGGGCACAGAACACGAGGAUUCGGGAUGCGCGUUGUCGGUGGCAAGAAAAGUCUCGAUGGACGCAUGUACGCCGCGAUCGUUUGUACCGUUCCCGGUGGGCCAGCCGAGAAAGCCGGACUGCAAAAGGGCGAUAAGAUUCUGGAAUGGUCGGGUGUGCCUUUGAUCGAUCGAAGUUUCGAGGACGUGGCGCACAUAAUCGAACAUACGGGAGAUGUUGCCGAGCUCGUUGUGGAGCACGCUACUGACAUUAUCGAUCUGUUCGACGAUCCGGGAAUGCCGAACGCCGGAAAAAAUUCUGGCAACAUGGGACUCCAAUUAGAAUCCGAAACGGAGAAAACGCCCUCGUCGUCGAAAGGACGAAGGACACUACCAAAGACGCCGGAGCAAAUGACGAAGCAAGUGAGCGGAAGAGUACAAAUUCAAGUUUGGUACGAGGCUGAUAGACGCGAGCUCGUUGUCUCUCUUUUAGCGGCCGAUGAACUUUGCACUCGCGAUGAUACCGGGCUUCCGCCUCAAGCCUUUGCCAAACUCGUUCUUCUGCCACCCUGCGGUGAUCAGAGCACUCUUCAAACUGAUGUGUCAAAGUCGACGCAAAACCCGAUAUGGAACGCUAAUUUAACCUUCCCGGGAAUAUCCGGUGAAGAUUUGUUGGAUCGUACGAUUGACGUAACACUUUGGGACUGUUUACCGGAUGGUGACACAACCUACCUCGGCGAAUGUUCAGUCGAUUUGCAGAAUGCUUUUGAGACUGAUCGAGCAGUUUGGUAUCGUUUGGAAGAUCCACGCGGUUUGCGUUCAGGAAAAUCGCCAUUCUGUUCGCCUCGGGGCUCCAUAUCGACCGAGCUAGCGCAGAGACUUUUGCGACGCACGGAAAUACGUGAGAGAAGUUACAGCGAUGAUACCCCGAGCGACAGUGGAAGUCCGGAGCCGUAUUAUCUCCAUCCGGAUCACGCUUGGCAAGCUAAUUCAAGACGAGGCUCUAGUCAGUCCGAGCAACUUGAGAUCGAACCGUACGAACUGAGCAAGGAUUAUAGCAGAUCAUUACCCGGUAGCCGGAGAAGCAGUUUCCAAAGUCAAGGAGGCACCGAUAGCAAAAGAGGAAGUAUGGGAGAAACGGACAUGUCCGUGGCUUAUUACAACCGCGAUCGUCGGAGGAGUUCUUGCACAAGGCAGCUCCGUGACCACGACGAAAUAAUGAGAUCGUUGAAGGCAGCAGCGGCGAAAGGGGAGCUCGGAAGAACGAUGAGCCUGUCGAACGACAAGAGGCGUGGGAGCCUGCGAGCCUGUUUCUCCGAGGACCGCUAAUCCGGCCUCCUUCCCGCUACCGCACUCCGCACCAUCCCGAUUAUAAACAAGCAAGGCAAACUGUGUGUCGUCCAACGAAUCAGGGCUACGGGCGAGGUGAGCGCAAAGACAGCGUUGGACAAUCGGCCGUUGGCUUUCCAGAACGACUUUACGAUCGAAACAGCGAAUCUGACGAGGAUGAUAAAUUGAG